UUUUUUUUUGUUUUCCGCCAUUACCAACAUUAUUACCAUAGGUUGGGAACCGCUGCUCUAGAUGAGAAAUCCUUCGGUUGAAAAACUGGCAGAAAUUGGAGCGAUCCGAGCGAGGCGAAAGAACGCGCGACUUGUUGAAAAUCGUGAUGUUUUGGCCUCUGAAGGCCUUCAAAAACCGCAUCAAAUAUACCUAAGUAUAUUUUGUGUAUCGCAAGAGAAACAGUCGGAUGUGUUCGAUACAUACGAGUUGUACGUAAUGUCGAGGGAAAGUGAAGUACGAAGGGUGCUGAGUAACGAAGGUUAAGGUACUAUUUACAAUGAGCGAAAAAAUGUGUGCGCACGGGAAUGGGUACGUGAGCAAGUUACAAUUGAUAAUUCGUGUUCAAACGAUGAAAGAUGCAAGGCGUGUUGUACAACGUUUCUUCGAUCGGCGUCUCGACUUAUGGCUCGUUUUUUUUCUUUUUUUUUUUUUAAUCUCAAGAAAGUGCUACGAGGAUCAGAAUCAGAGCCUAUAAUAAAACGAACACACGUUGUGUGUCGAUGUCACGUUGGAACCAGAAUCGAUGCCUUUUGUUUCAACAAAAAGAAUUCGCUUACUUUCGUUCGAGUGGAAGAUGAUCACCUUUCGUUCAAAUCGCACGUCGAAAUUUAACGCUGCCUGUGAUAUCGAAAGCAAUCGACGAUGAAUCAUUCCAAACAUUUCAAUGCUGCGUGACAGAGAGAAAGAGAAAGAAAGAGGCUCAGAGUAAUUGUUCGCGUGUUGCAUGUUCGUGGGAAGUUUUAUCAAUUCUGACGCGACGUGACAUCGAC